UUUGACCGUUCUCUCUUGAGAGUGCAAGGCAAACGUCAGCCAUCUUCGUGUUCUGCAAAUCGGUGCGUGUUGAGUUUUCGUGUUAAAAAAACUGAAACCCCUUGAUAAUUCGAGGUUUAUUCAGUAAAAAUAUUAAACUGAACGACGAUUCUCCGGAGGUUGCCGAAGGUUAAACGGAAAAUAUGCCCUUCGUUGGUGCUACGGGAUCGGUCCGGCAACCCACUCCACCUAAGCAACAAUCAAAUUGGCCGCCGUGAGUGCUUCAAGAUCAAGCAGAAGUUGUGUUAAAAUAUUAACGAAAAACGAAAGAUAAAAAUCACACCAAUACCAGCAGGUGGACCACUAAAAUUACAUCAAUAUGAAAAUUACAUCAAAGAAUAUUCAGCUCGUGUAAAAUUCAAUGCGCCUUCAUAGGCUAGAAAGAAACAUGUAAUUUUCAAAUCUGCUGUAAUUUUGUAGCAGAUAUGACGCUCCAGUUAUGUGCAUCGAAUUAACAGAAAAUUACACGAUUAUUUUUUGGUGUGUAGUUGUGAAUGCUUCAGAAAUUAAUAUCAUCUGAAAUAAAUCUUGACGUGAAACUUUCAG